rnacentral:rRNA from 1 species
UACGGGGGGUGCGAGCGUUGUCCGGAAUCACUGGGCGUAAAGGGCGCGUAGGUGGUUUGAUAAGGGUGUGGUGAAAGUCCGGGGCUCAACCCCGGAUCUGCCGUGCCGACUGUCAAACUCGAGGGCUGUAGAGGCAGACGGAAUUCCUGGUGUAGCGGUGAAAUGCGUAGAUAUCAGGAGGAACACCGGUGGCGAAGGCGGGUCUCUGGGCCGAUACUGACGCUGAGGAGCGAAAGCGUGGGGAGCGAACAGG